GGGGUUGUAUUUCAACCUGGCAGAACAUUUGGUUCCAAACCAAGAGAUGUGGGUUCAAAUCCCAACAAUCCCA
rnacentral:tRNA from 1 species